GGGCUCUUGGCACAGGGGUAGCGCGCACGCUUCGCAUUACAUCACUGCGUGAGGUCGUGGGUUCAAUUCCCACAGUGUCCA